rnacentral:lncRNA from 1 species
GUCCGAACAAAAACUGUCACUACCUGCAGCGGGAGUCCUCUAGCACUGUACUCGAAGGGUAGGCUCUAACUCGCCACGCCUUUCCCGCGGUCCGCCUCAGAAGGAGCAGCAGCCGAAACAGAAGGCCCUGCAACAUCGGUGGAAGAAAGAGGGCGUGAGAACUACUAUAAAAAUAAGUAGUCCUCAGUGGGUGCCGCCCUAAGCAACAUCGGUCCGCCCACUAAGUCUACAGGGUAAGCAAGAUAGAAGAAAAUGAAGCUGGAAACUCUCUACAGCUACAAGUCGCUAUGCUAUCAUGCCCAGAACUAACACCUAUAGACUCAAGUCAACCAGACCCAAUCUGAAGGGGACUGUGAACGCACCCGUCCCUGGGACUGUGAACGCACCCGUCCCGUGCCCGGUUGUGACUGCACAGCUACCCCCACUCUAAACCUCAGUGGAGAGCAAGUCCAACCUGCACUACCCGACACCGACGCGAAAGCACAAAGCCUAACUCCGGAGUGGCACUCGGGGGAGCUACCCAGCCGAGUAUGCAGCGUAGCUCUGUCGAGCUCAAUCAGGUCCUAACCAGCGAAACCCAAGUAACCAAAACAGACUUUGGGGCCCACCGCCUGCCCCGACGGCGCCCGACACCCCGUAACAGUCUAUACUCAGCUAGUAUAAGCUCGGCGUCCCAGCACGAGCACAAACACAAGCUACACUACCCUGGAUAUCUAUCGCACAAAGCCCGCGACGAUACAAUGCAACACGGCUCCUAGAGCUAAAUCCGGCAGUGUAUGUAAAUGACGAUCAAUUCGGGAUUUUUUCCUAAGUCAAAUCCAAGUCCAACAAGUAUCAAUUAU